CCCUACGGGGUGCACCAGGUAACCGUUCUGACUUCUCAAUUUGACCCUCAGCUCCCGCGUGAGGAAGUAUGUGAAGGAGUCCGUGUCAUUCGUGUUCCAGUUUUGAUGCGCUUAAGCAAGGGAGUGAUUAUGCCUUCUUUCGGUCGGCUUGCAAGCAAACUGGUGCGAGAAAAUGAUGUUCUCCAAUUACACCUGCCCCAAUUUGAUGCCGCCGGAGUGGCGUUGCGGGGACGCCUGCAUCGCAAACCGACGAUUAUUACCUAUCAUUGUGAUCUCGAAUUACCUCCGGGAGUAUUUAAUCGCAUUGCCAACCUGGCUGUGCUGGCAAUGAAUGAAUUGGCGGGGGGGC
rnacentral:rRNA from 1 species